GCACAUAAUAUUUCCUGCUCACUCAAUACUUGUCUUAUGGUUACUUUUUCAGGUUAAAAAACUAGACAAAGCAAAUUAUGUCAAGGAAGCAAGCGCAACUUUUUAUCAAUUUCUCUGGA